rnacentral:rRNA from 1 species
AGAGUUUGAUUCUGGCUCAGAGUGAACGCUGGCGGCGUGCUUAUCACAUGCAAGUCGAGCGAGGUUACAGCUGUAGCAAUACAGUAUGUGCCUAGCGGCAGACGGGUGGGUAAUACGUAGGGAACCUUCCUCUUAGCGGGGGAUAGCCAGCCGAAAGGUUGGGUAAUACCGCGUACGAUCCUUUUAUGGCAUCACGAAAGGAUGAAACAUCCGCAAGGAUGACUGAGAGAGGGCCCUGCGGCCUAUCAGCUAGUUGGUGAGGUAACGGCUCACCAAGGCUACGACGGGUAACCGGCCUGAAAGGGCGACCGGUCACACUGACACUGAGACACGGGUCAGACACCUACGGGUGGCAGCAGUGAGGAAUCUUGGACAAUGGGGGCAACCCUGAUCCAGCGACGCCGCGUGGAGGACGAAGGUCUUCGGAUUGUAAACUCCUUUUGUUCGGGAAUAAGAAAUCUGUGGAAACACGGAGAGUGAAUGUACCGGAUGAAUAAGCCACGGCUAACUUCGUGCCAGCAGCCGCGGUAAUACGAAGGUGGCAAGCGUUACUCGGAAUUACUAGGCGUAAAGGGCAGGUAGGCGGUUUGGUAAGUCUGUUGUGUAAGCUCCUGGCUUAACCGGGAGAGGUCAACAGAAACUGCCAGGCUUGAGUAUAGGAGAGGGUACUGGAAUUCCCGGUGUAGCGGUGAAAUGCGCAGAGAUCGGGAGGAACACCAAUGGCGAAAGCAGGUACCUGGACUAUUACUGACGCUGAGCUGCGAAAGCUAGGGGAGCAAACAGGAUUAGAUACCCUGGUAGUCCUAGCCGUAAACGAUGCACAUUAGACGUGAGGGGUAUCGACCCCCUUCGUGUCGACGCAAACGCAUUAAAUGUGCCGCCUGGGGAGUACGGCCGCAAGGUUGAAACUCAAAGGAAUUGACGGGGGCCCGCACAAGCGGUGGAGCAUGUGGUUUAAUUCGACGCAACGCGAAGAACCUUACCUGGGCUUGAACUGUUGGUAGUAGAAGCGAUGAAAGUCGCGACGAACCGUCAAGUCGGUUGCCAAUAGAGGUGCUGCAUGGCUGUCGUCAGCUCGUGUCGUGAGAUGUUGGAUUAAGUCCCGCAACGAGCGCAACCCUUAUCCUAUGUUGCCAGGCCCGCAAGGGCGGAACUCUUAGGAAACUGCCUCGGAUAACGGGGAGGAAGGUGGGGAUGACGUCAAGUCACCAUGGCCUUUAUGUCCAGGGCUACACACGUGCUACAAUGGCCGGUACAGCGAGCAGCAAAUCCGCAAGGACGAGCAAAUCUCUAAAAGCCGGCCCCAGUUCGGAUAGUGGGCUGCAAUUCGCCCACUUGAAGGUGGAAUCGCUAGUAAUCGGGGAUCAGCUGGCCCCGGUGAAUACGUUCCCGGGCCUUGUACACACCGCCCGUCACACCACGAAAGCUGACUGCAACCGAAGUCGGUGAUCCAACCCGCAAGGGAGGUAACCGCCGAAGUUGUGAUCAGUGAUUGGGGUGAAGUCGUAACAAGGUAACCAAGGGCGAA